rnacentral:sRNA from 1 species
UAUCUCUCCGUACGGGGAAGGAUGAGAAGCUUCGACUAAGGUUCGAUUCGAGCGCAGCGAGAAAGCGUUGCCGCAGGCAACGACCCGAAGGGUGAGGAGCGGAGCGAC